UACGUAGGGGGCAAGCGUUGUUCGGAAUUACUGGGCGUAAAGGGCUCGUAGGCGGCCAACUAAGUCCGACGUGAAAUCCCCAGGCUUAACCUGGGAACUGCGUCGGAUACUGGAUGGCUUGAAUUCGGGAGAGGGAUGCAGAAUUCCAGGUGUAGCGGUGAAAUGCGUAGAUAUCUGGAGGAAUACCGGUGGCGAAGGCGGCAUCCUGGACCGACAUUGACGCUGAGGAGCGAAAGCUAGGGGAGCAAACGGG
rnacentral:rRNA from 1 species